rnacentral:rRNA from 1 species
CGCAACGCCGCGUGGAGGAUGAAGGUCGUAAGGUUGUAAACUCCUGUGAGAUGGGAAGAAAGCCUGUAGUUCGUAAGGGCUACAGUUUGACUGUACCAUCAGAGGAAGCCCCGGCUAACUACGUGCCAGCAGCCGCGGUAAUACGUAGGGGGCCAGCGUUGUCCGGAUUUACUGGGUGUAAAGGGCGCGUAGGCGGGUUCGUAAGUCAGAGGUGAAAUCUCCCGGCUUAACCGGGAAACUGCCUUUGAUACUGCGAAUCUUGAGUUCAGAAGAGAGAGAUGGAAUUCCAGGUGUAGUGGUGAAAUACGUAGAUAUCUGGAAGAACACCAGUGGCGAAGGCGAUCUCUUGGUCUGAAACUGACGCUGAGGCGCGAAAGCGUGGGUAGCAAACAGGAUUAGAUACCCUGGUAGUCCACGCUGUAAACGAUGAUUACUAGGUGUUGGUUCCACAGGGAUCAGUGCCGCAGCAAACGCAUUAAGUAAUCCACCUGGGGAGUACGAUCGCAAGGUUG